rnacentral:rRNA from 1 species
AGGAGAGUUUGAUCCUGGCUCAGGACGAACGCUGGCGGCGUGCCUAACACAUGCAAGUCGAGCGGAGAUAUAGUUGAUGAGAGCUUCGGCAGGAUUCGGGUAUAUUUUAGCGGCGGACGGGUGAGUAACGCGUGAGCAAUCUGUCUCAGACAGGGGGAUAACGCAGCGAAAGUUGCACUAAUACCGCAUGAGACCACAGCAUCGCAUGGUGCAGGGGUCAAAGGAGCAAUCCGGUCUGAGGUGAGCUCGCGUCCUAUUAGGUAGUUGGUGAGGUAACGGCCCACCAAGCCUGCGAUAGGUAGCCGACCUGAGAGGGUGAUCGGCCACACUGGAACUGAGACACGGUCCAGACUCCUACGGGAGGCAGCAGUGGGGAAUAUUGGGCAAUGGGGGAAACCCUGACCCAGCAACGCCGCGUGAGUGAAGAAGGUCUUCGGAUUGUAAAUCUCUGUCCUAAGAGAAGAGGGGAAGACGGUAUCUUAGGAGGAAGCCCCGGCUAACUACGUGCCAGCAGCCGCGGUAAUACGUAGGGGGCGAGCGUUGUCCGGAAUGAUUGGGCGUAAAGGGCGUGUAGGCGGCCUGUUAAGUCUGGAGUGAAAGUCCUGUUUUCAAGAUGGGAAUUGCUUUGGAUACUGGCGGGCUUGAGUGCAGGAGAGGUUAUCGGAAUUCCCGGUGUAGCGGUGAAAUGCGUAGAGAUCGGGAGGAACACCAGUGGCGAAGGCGGGUAACUGGACUGCAACUGACGCUGAGGCGCGAAAGUGUGGGGAGCAAACAGGAUUAGAUACCCUGGUAGUCCCCU